rnacentral:rRNA from 1 species
AAGGAAUAUUGGUCAAUGGACGCAAGUCUGAACCAGCCAUGCCGCGUGAAGGAUGAAGGUCCUCUGGAUUGUAAACUUCUUUUAUCUGGGACGAAAACGGGAUUUUUAUCUCAAUUGACGGUACCAGAGGAAUAAGCACCGGCUAACUCCGUGCCAGCAGCCGCGGUAAUACGGAGGGUGCGAGCGUUAUCCGGAUUUACGGGGUUUAAAGGGUGCGUAGGUGGGCUUAUAAGUCAGUGGUGAAAUCUCCGAGCUUAACUUGGAAACUGCCGUUGAUACUAUAGGUCUUGAAUUAUCUGGAGGUAAGCGGAAUAUGUCAUGUAGCGGUGAAAUGCUUAGAUAUGACAUAGAACACCAAUUGCGAAGGCAGCUUACUACAUAUAAAUUGACGCUGAGGCACGAAAGCGUGGGGAUCAAAC